GCGACCCCAGGAUGGGCGAGGCCACCCGCUGAGUUAAGC
rnacentral:rRNA from 2 species